rnacentral:rRNA from 1 species
GACGAACGCUGGCGGCGUGCUUAACACAUGCAAGUCGAACGGAAAGGCCCUGCUUUUGUGGGGUGCUCGAGUGGCGAACGGGUGAGUAACACGUGAGUAACCUGCCCUUGACUUUGGGAUAACUUCAGGAAACUGGGGCUAAUACCGGAUAGGAGCUCCUGCUGCAUGGUGGGGGUUGGAAAGUUUCGGCGGUUGGGGAUGGACUCGCGGCUUAUCAGCUUGUUGGUGGGGUAGUGGCUUACCAAGGCUUUGACGGGUAGCCGGCCUGUGAGGGUGACCGGCCACAUUGGGACUGAGAUACGGCCCAGACUCCUACGGGCGGCAGCAGUGGGGAAUAUUGCACAAUGGGCGGAAGCCUGAUGCAGCAACGCCGCGUGCGGGAUGACGGCCUUCGGGUUGUAAACCGCUUUCGCCUGUGACGAAGCGUGAGUGACGGUAAUGGGUAAAGAAGCACCGGCUAACUACGUG